rnacentral:lncRNA from 1 species
UCUUCUCCAACUCUUGGAGUGGUCAAUCCCAUCACGAUCACACUCUGACUUCGUAAGUACUUGACUGUGCCCAGAAGCCUUCCAUCUCUGAAUUAGAAAUUCAGUUAGUCCAGUACCAAAGCACAGUGAGUUGCUUGCAAGUCACUGAGGCGAUCUCAGGUCUAAGGGACAGUUAUACCUAUAUCCCAUUAGAGACAUUCUUGACAGCAGAAUACUCUGGAGUUGGUCACGUUCAAUGAUGAUGUACCAGUACAUCUCACCUGUAUGUCAUACCAGUGUCUCCACACUCUUUGGUUAA